rnacentral:rRNA from 1 species
GACGAACGCUGGCGGCGUGCUUAACACAUGCAAGUCGAGCGGUGCGGCGAACGGGUGAGUAACGCGUGAGUAACUGCCCACCUCUUUGGGGUAACAGUUGGAAACGGCUGCUAAUACCGGAUAGCGGGGGAUGACUCGCGUCCUAUCAGCUUGUUGGUGGGGUAGUGGCAUACCAAGGCGACGACGGGUAGCCGGCCUGGGAGGGCGACCGGCCUCAAUGGGCUGAGAUACGGCCCAGACUCCUACGGGAGGCAGCAGGGGGGAAUAUUGCACAAUGGGGGAAACCCUGAUGCAGAAACGCCGCGUGUGUGAUGACGGCCUGCGGGUUGUAAACCGCUUUCAGCCAUGACGCGGUAGUGGCAGAAGAAGCACCGGCUAACUACGUGCCAGCAGCCGCGGUAAUUC